rnacentral:tRNA from 1 species
AAGGGUUUAGCUUAAUUAAAGUGUUUGAUUUGCAUUCAGACGAUGUGAGGUUUAGUCUUGCAAUCCUUA